rnacentral:rRNA from 1 species
UACGUAGGGUGCAAGCGUUAAUCGGAAUUACUGGGCGUAAAGCGUACGCAGGCGGCUUUGCAAGACAGGUGUGAAAUCCCCGGGCCUAACCUGGGAACUGCAUUUGUGACUGCAUAGCUAGAGUUUGUCAGAGGGGGGUGGAAUUCCACGUGUAGCAGUGAAAUGCGUAGAUAUGUGGAGGAACACCGAUGGCGAAGGCAGCCCCCCGGGAUGUGACUGACGCUCAUGUACGAAAGCGUGGGGAGCAAACAGG